UAGUACGUAAGUAUGAUUGACCUUUUGGAAUCGUUGGAUUAUAUGGUUAGAAAUGUACCUUAUAGGAAAUAUAAACCUAAUUUACCACUUCAUACCAAUUGUAGGCAAUGGUGGAAGUAUGCCAUUGAUUCAGUUCUUGAAGUUCAUAUAAGAAGAUGUACACAGAUGUGGUCAUGGUGUAACAUAAAGAAGCAUAGAGAGUUACUCAAGAGUUAUAAAAUCGCUUACAAGAAUAAGCUAACUCAGACUAAACUCUCGGAAGAAAUCCAGAAACAAAUUCAGGACCUGGAGAAGACUUUAGAUGUUUUUAACAUAAUUUUAGCAAGGCAACAAGCACAAGUCGAGGUGAUUCGAUCUGGGCAGAAACUAAGGAAGAAAUCCACUGACACAGGGGAGAAACGGGGAGGCUGGUUUAGUGGGUUUUGGGGUAAGAAGGAGUCUAAGAAAAAAGGUGAAGAAUCAUUGAUUCCUGAAACUAUUGAUGAUCUUAUGACCCCUGAGGAGAAGGACAAACUCUUCACUGCUAUUGGUUACAGCGGGAGCAUGCAUAACUUGACUUUGCCCAAGAAGUAUGUUGCCUAUAUAAUGACCUUGAAGUUGGUAAGCACUUCUAUUGUAAUCAGAGAAAACAAAAAUAUUCCUGAAAUCCUAAAAAUCCAGAUCAUUGGCCUGGGCACCCAAGUAUGCCAGCGACCAGGAGCGCAAGCCCUUAAGGUAGAAGCAAAGUUAGAAGACUGGUAUAUCACAGGUCUGAGACAGCAGGAUACUGUGCCAUCCCUUGUGGCUUCCAUUGGUGACACUGCAUCAUCCUUGCUUAAAAUUGAGUUUGAAACCAAUCCAGAGAACAGCCUUGCUGACCAGACGCUGACCGUCCAGUCCCAGCCCGUGGAGGUCAUCUACGAUGCUAAAACCAUCAAUGCAGUGGUUGAUUUCUUUCAGUCAAAUAGGGGAUUGGAUCUUGAGCAAAUAACAUCAGCUACUUUGAUGAAGCUGGAAGAAAUUAAAGAGAGAACAGCUACUGGACUUACACAUAUAAUUGAGACUCGAAAAGUUCUUGAUUUAAGGAUAAAUCUGAAGCCUUCUUAUCUAAUAGUUCCACAGACAGGCUUCCACCAUGAAAAGUCAAAUCUUCUCAUUUUAGAUUUUGGUACAUUUCAGCUCAACAGUAAAAGUCAAGGUCUACAGAAGACUACCAGUUCAUCUUUGGAAGAAAUAAUGGAUAAAGCAUAUGACAAGUUUGAUGUUGAAAUAAAGAGUGUGCAACUACUCUUUGCAAGAGCAGGGGAAAACUGGAAGAAGUGUCGUUUUCAGCACCCGUCCACUAUGCAUAUACUGCAGCCCAUGGAUAUUCAUGUGGAGCUAGCCAAGGCGAUGGUAGAGAAGGACACGAGAAUGGCCAGAUUUAAAGCAUCAGGAGGACUUCCUUUGAUGCAUGUGAGGAUUUCAGACCAGAAGAUGAAAGAUGUGCUGUGUUUGAUUAACAGUAUACCUUUGCCACAGAAAUCAUCAACUCAAUCUCCAGAGAGACAGGUAUCGUCAGUUCCUGUUGCUUCAAGUGGGACAAAAGUUCUCCUUGGUACUUCAUUAUUGCUGAGUGAAAUGGAUUCAGAGUCUGACGAUGAGUAUUUCGACGCUGAAGACGGUGCCUCCCAGGUGCCUAGAGGUGCGCCAGGCUCCGAACCCCGAAAGGCUGCGGAGGUUCCGAACGAGGCCCUCGUUAAUCUUCUGCUCAAGUUUGAAGUUAAAGAAGAUCAAGAAAAAAGCCCCUUCACUUGAUUAGCUCUUCUGACAAACCUGGGUCAGAUCUUUUAAAAGUAGAGUAUAUUAAGGUAAGGACCAUGGCAGUGCUGGAGAACCUGUGGAGAGA
ensembl:lincRNA